rnacentral:rRNA from 1 species
UUAUUCCAAGCACACUUUCCAGUAUGCUUACCUUGUUACGACUUAUCUCCUCUCAUAAAUUAGGGUUUUAUAUUAUUUAUUAAUUAAUAAAUUUAAUUUGAGGAGGGUGACGGGCGGUGUGUGCGUACUUCAUUGCGCUAUUCAAUUAAGCUCUCUAUUCUUAAUUUACUACUAAAUCCUCCUUGAUCCUUUAAUUUCAUAAAGGGUUUCGUAAUGUUCUUGAAGAGAAAAUGUGGCCCAUUUCUUUCCGUCUCAUUAGCUACACCUUGACCUAACGUUUUUAUGUAUUAUUCUUGUGCUUACUUUAGUAUCUUUUUAGAGUUUGCUGAAGAUGGCGGUAUAUAGGCUGAAUUAGCAAGAGAUGGUGAGGUAAAGCGGGGAUUAUCGAUUAUAGAACAGGCUCCUCUAGAUGGAUAUAAAGUACCGCCAAGUCCUUUGAGUUUUAAGCUGUAGCUAGUAGUUCUCUGGCAAAUAAUUUUGUUAUUUAAUUAUUUAGGUUUAGGGCUAAGCAUAGUGGGGUAUCUAAUCCCAGUUUGGAUCUCAGCUAUCGUGUAAUAUAUUGUUCUAGAAUUACUUUCGUUAUUGAAUUUAGAUCUUAACAAUGAAUUUUCACAUAUAAGUUAGAUUUCAAUUCUAUUUUAUGUUAUUAAUAGUUUACACAUUUUACGCCGUAUAUAAUUAGUUUGGGUUAAUCGUAUGACCGCGGUGGCUGGCACGAAAUUUACCAACCCUGAGAGGUAUAGCUUAGUCAAACUUUCGUUUAUUGCUUAAUUUUUAUCACUGCUGAGUCCCGUGGGGGUGUGGCUUGGCAAGGUGUCUUGAGCUAUUUUUAUGUGCUUGAUACCCUCUCCUUAAAAUUUAAUAAAAUGUUUAAGGGAUUUUACACCGGUUUAUGGAUAUUUGCAUGUGUAAUCUUACCUCCAAUUAAUUAUAAGGCCAGGACCAAACCUUUG